GAUGAACGCUGGCGGCGUGCUUAACACAUGCAAGUCGAACGGAAAGGCCCAAGCUUGCUUGGGUACUCGAGUGGCGAACGGGUGAGUAACACGUGGGUGAUCUGCCCUGCACUUCGGGAUAAGCCUGGGAAACUGGGUCUAAUACCGGAUAGGACGAUGGUUUGGAUGCCAUUGUGGAAAGUUUUUUCGGUGUGGGAUGAGCUCGCGGCCUAUCAGCUUGUUGGUGGGGUAAUGGCCUACCAAGGCGUCGACGGGUAGCCGGCCUGAGAGGGUGUACGGCCACAUUGGGGCUGCGAUACGGCCCAGACUCCUACGGGAGGCAGCAGUGGGGAAUAUUGCACAAUGGGCGCACGCCUGAUGCAGCGACGCCGCGUGGGGGCUGACGGCCUUCGGGUUGUACACUCCCUUCGCUAGGGACGAAGCGUUUUUGUGACGGUACCUGGAGAAGAAGCACCGGCUAACUACGUG
rnacentral:rRNA from 1 species